rnacentral:rRNA from 1 species
AUUGAACGCUGGCGGCAGGCUUAACACAUGCAAGUCGAGCGGAUGAUGGGAGCUUGCUCCCGGAUUCAGCGGCGGACGGGUGAGUAAUGCCUAGGAAUCUGCCUGGUAGUGGGGGACAACGUUUCGAAAGGAACGCUAAUACCGCAUACGUCCUACGGGAGAAAGCAGGGGACCUUCGGGCCUUGCGCUAUCAGAUGAGCCUAGGUCGGAUUAGCUAGUUGGUGGGGUAAAGGCCUACCAAGGCGACGAUCCGUAACUGGUCUGAGAGGAUGAUCAGUCACACUGGAACUGAGACACGGUCCAGACUCCUACGGGAGGCAGCAGUGGGGAAUAUUGGACAAUGGGCGAAAGCCUGAUCCAGCCAUGCCGCGUGUGUGAAGAAGGUCUUCGGAUUGUAAAGCACUUUAAGUUGGGAGGAAGGGCAGUAAGUUAAUACCUUGCUGUUUUGACGUUACCAACAGAAUAAGCACCGGCUAACUUCGUGCCAGCAGCCGCAGUAACAC